AGCAUCUAAUUCGCAGCAGCUUGUAACAGACAAACUUAAAACUCUGACUUUUAAGCAUUUUGUGGAAAUCUCGCACUUACCUACCUAAUUACGCCAGUCUUGUGUUUACGUCCUGGAAAGUGGUUACCAUUUUAUGCUAACAACCUUUCCGUGCAAUUUAAUUGUACUUAACGAAAUAAGUAUAAAAAAGCAGUGAAAAGCAAAUUACUCCAUUUAGCCUCAUAAUUCCGAAAGAAUGUAUCCCUAAGUUCUUCUCUACUUUCUCUACAACUUUAAGCAAGCUGCAUCAUUCGCUUAAGGCACAUCUACACAAUCCAACAGGAUGAACAGGGCGCGGCUACAUUAAGCAAGCAACAAGAAGAACUGCACCGGAUGAAAACUGAUUCGCAGCAGCCCUCGUUUAGCGAUUCACGUUAUGUAUGAAGCACAAUUAAAAGGGCGUCCCAUUGGAGCCCCACGGAGCAACCAUUGUGUCUGAAAACAACUAACAUUGCAAUGGGCUUGUAAUAAUGUCAGAAUAACGUGCCAUUGACUGCUGCUGAUUGUGAUGGACGUGGAUCUGCAAGCCCAAUUGAUAUAUCAUUCCUUGCAAGAAUCUUAAUUGAACAAGAAAGUUACUUCUGAUAAAGUUUACCCGAAUUUGGUUAUUUUCCUUGUUGGCUCCCACUUUAAAAUUGUGGUUAUUUCUUCAUGUAGAUGAAAAUUUCUGUUUGUUUAUCAAUUCCUCUGUUGUCUUUGUUAAAAGAAAAGUAUUUGUUCCUUAGUCUCGCUGGUUUAUGUUAAUAUUUUCCUCAAGUUUGUCGGUUGUUUUUUUGCAUUCAAGAAAACAAAAAUGUCAUUCACAUUGCAAUAAAUACAAAACUGCAAUCCAAGUGCGAACCACACUAGGAAAGUCGGCCGAGUUCUAUGUGCUCCUUCAAAAACCCGCGCAAGCAAAGAUUUAAAUUUAAAUUUUUUUUAGCGAAGAACAUCAGGCAAAAGUAGAAUUGGUUCUGGAUAGAUGGACAAUCCAAAACGGGGUUUGUUUAAAUAUUCGGUUAGUUCCAUAGCGUUGGAUGUUUUAAGCAAACAUGCACAUAAUGAUCGAACCUCGGCCUUUAAGUUUCAACAGAAUAUUUGAUUACAAACCUAAUUUUAAUUACCGAACCUGAUAUUAGUUAGGAAACUACAGCAGCAUUUAUGCUACACAAAAUCGGCUUCAAAUUAAACGAAAUAAUUUUUAAUUUCUAGUUUAUUUAAGCGGCAAAUCGCGUGCAACGUAGCUUUUAUUAUUUUAUUAUUUAUUCAUGAUUGUUUAUGUUACUGCUUCGAUAAAAGUUCUGAUGAUGCAAUCAAAAUAAACGACAUUUUGGAAAAGCAGAAAACAUUUGUUAUUAUUACUAUGGAAA